rnacentral:rRNA from 1 species
CAGUCGCCGCGGUAAUACGUAGGCGGCAAGCGUUGUCCGGAAUUAUUGGGCGUAAAGGGCUCGCAGGCGGUUUCUUAAGUCUGAUGUGAAAGCCCCCGGCUCAACCGGGGAGGGUCAUUGGAAACUGGGAAACUUGAGUGCAGAAGAGGAGAGUGGAAUUCCACGUGUAGCGGUGAAAUGCGUAGAGAUGUGGAGGGACACCAGUGGCGAAGGCGACUCUCUGGUCUGUAACUGACGCUGAGGAGCGAAAGCGUGGGGAGCGAACAGGAUUAGAUACCCCGGUAGUCCCUGUCUCUUAUAC